ACACGGAGGGUGCGAGCGUUGUUCGGAAUCACUGGGCGUAAAGCGGGUGUAGGCGGUCUAGCAAGUCAGAUGUGAAAGUCCAGGGCUCAACCCUGGAAGUGCAUCUGAAACUGUUAGACUUGAGUACUGGAGAGGGAAGUGGAAUUCCUGGUGUAGGGGUGAAAUCCGUAGAUAUCAGGAGGAACACCGGUGGCGAAGGCGACUUCCUGGACAGAUACUGACGCUCAGACCCGAAAGCGUGGGGAGCAAACAGGAUUAGAAACCCUAGUAGUCC
rnacentral:rRNA from 1 species